rnacentral:rRNA from 2 species
UACGUAGGUGGCGAGCGUUGUCCGGAAUUACUGGGCGUAAAGGGCGCGUAGGCGGCCUGUUAAGUCAGAUGUGAAACCCCCAGGCUCAACUUGGGGAUUGCAUAUGAAACUGAUGGGCUCGAGUGUCGGAGAGGAAAGCGGAAUUCCUAGUGUAGCGGUGAAAUGCGUAGAUAUUAGGAGGAACACCAGUGGCGAAGGCGGCUUUCUGGACGAUAACUGACGCUGAGGCGCGAAAGCGUGGGGAGCAAACAGGAUUAGAUACCCUGGUAGUCCACGCUGUAAACUAUGGAUACUAGGUGUGGGAGGUAUCGACCCCUUCCGUGCCGCAGUAAACGCAAUAAGUAUCCCGCCUGGGGAGUACGGCCGCAAGGUUGAA